UUGCUGGCCAAUCACAGAAGCCCACAGGGACCUACAGCCAACGAAAACAAAGAAAGGCAUGUUUUCCCCUCCCACUCGCUACUCAUUAAGGAGGGAAAAAUCAAACAUUCACUGUAUGUUGUUUAUUCAGUUAACACACUAAACGUCGAAAGCACAUAUACAUCUAAAGGCACACUUAGGGAGGAGUUUUAUAGAAACAUCCUGAGUUGGUGACUGGACUGUGAGAUAUUAUGAUAAAGAAGAACACUAAAGAGAAGAAGUCCAGCAGUCACAAAGAAUCAAGGAACUCUUUAGAUGGCUGAUGGUCUCUCCACCUUGUGAUUUCUGGAGCCUUUCUCUACUAUGCUCAAUCUCAUCAAGCUACCUCAAGUGUUCACCAUCAACCAAGUUCCAAAAGUCUUCCAUGAGGAUGGUAUCAUUUCAGGGUAUCGCCACCCAUGCAGCUCUGCGAAAGACUGUGUGCUUUGUCUAUUCCAGC